rnacentral:rRNA from 1 species
AACGAACGCUGGCGGCAUGCCUAACAUAUGCAAGUCGAACGAGACCUUCGGGUCUAGUGGCGCACGGGUGCGUAACGCGUGGGAACCUGCCCUUAGGUUCGGAAUAACUCCCCGAAAGGGGUGCUAAUACCGGAUAAUGUCUUCGGACCAAAGAUUUAUCGCCUUUGGAUGGGCCCGCGUUGGAUUAGCUAGUUGGUAGGGUAAAAGCUUACCAAGGCGACGAUCCAUAGCUGGUUUGAGAGGAUGAUCAGCCACACUGGGACUGAGACACGGCCCAGACUCCUACGGGAGGCAGCAGUGGGGAAUAUAGGACCAUGGGCGAAAGCCUGAUCCAGCAAUGCCGCGUGAGUGAUGAAGGCCUUAGGGUUGUAAAGCUCUUUUACCCGAGAUGAUAGUGACGGUACCGGGAGAAUAAGCUCCGGCUAACUCCGUG